rnacentral:piRNA from 1 species
UGUGUAUGAAUGUGUGGUUCCCAGUUUGA